GAGUUUGAUCCUGGCUCAGAACGAACGCUGGCGGCAGGCUUAACACAUGCAAGUCGAGCGAGACCUUCGGGUCUAGCGGCGGACGGGUGAGUAACGCGUGGGAACGUGCCCUUCUCUACGGAAUAGCCCCGGGAAACUGGGAGUAAUACCGUAUACGCCCUUUGGGGGAAAGAUUUAUCGGAGAAGGAUCGGCCCGCGUUGGAUUAGGUAGUUGGUGGGGUAAUGGCCCACCAAGCCGACGAUCCAUAGCUGGUUUGAGAGGAUGAUCAGCCACACUGGGACUGAGACACGGCCCAGACUCCUACGGGAGGCAGCAGUGGGGAAUCUUAGACAAUGGGGGCAACCCUGAUCUAGCCAUGCCGCGUGAGUGAUGAAGGCCUUAGGGUUGUAAAGCUCUUUCAGCUGGGAAGAUAAUGACGGUACCAGCAGAAGAAGCCCCGGC
rnacentral:rRNA from 1 species